rnacentral:lncRNA from 1 species
AAGUAAAUGUUUUUAGAAUUUUAAUGUUUUAAGUCUUGUUAGUGUGUUGCUAUAAAACAUGAAAUACACACAGCUCAUAUCAUUGCAUCGUGGUGAUGAGAGUCCUCAUGUUAGAAUGAAAGGCACAUUAUGAUCAGAUAGUAAAGUACUUAUUUUUUAUAUAUUUUUUAUUUGAAUUGAACUACUGGUUUACCAUAUAUUAUUCCAACAUUUCAGGAGAUGAACACAACACCUGUCCUGAAUCAUCACCACCUUUGGUGUGAACAAACAGAAGCUCCAGCAUGUAAAGCAGAGGACAGAUAUUUAAUGUGUCUUUUGUUGUUG